CACAGCUCAGCUAGAUUUUCUCGAUUCUUCUCAAGUCCCUGGUACUCAACUGUGGUGAACAGACCAGCAGCGUGGGCCUCUCCCGGGGAGCUGGAUAGAAAUGCACACUCUCAGGCCCAGCCCAGAGGCCAGAAUCUGCAUGUUAGCAAGUCCCCAGGGGAGGUUACAUUACAAUGAGUGAUUUUGUAACUCCCAAGGUUAAACAUCCUUAUACCCACAUGGCCACGCACACCUUACCUUCUCCUUUACACUCAGGCUGCUCUCCUCUUCCACCUGCUAGGAUGGCAUUGUCUACUCCCACCAACCUCAUGGAGUUGUUGCAAAGUAACUGAACUGUGUACAGUGUUCAAUUUUGAAAUAAGGACUAGGGGGAUACAUAGCAACAUCUUAACAGGGAUUUUUUUCCUGGGUGGUAAGUGAUUUCUCAUUUCUUAUUUGAUCUAAAAUGUAGUUUUUAAAUUUUAUGCUCUGAACACUUUUCUUCUGUCACCACAACAAAAAGGAUAGUUUGUUUUAAAAGCAAGUAAGUGUGAACAUCAACUAACAGAGCAUGAGAAAUGGUAAAUUCCUUGUGGAUGACCUGUUGCAUCCAGCACCUGUGCAAACAGCUGGACCCGGGAGCCAUCUGCCCAGUUUCUCCAGCUGAAACUCUGACGCUGAAUCCCCAGGGAACUCACCCGUUGGCACGGUGCACGGUAAACAGGGCUCGAGACCUGGAGGAAAUCACACGUGAAAACUUUGGGGGGAAUAAAUUUGCAGUUGCUGUUAAGUUUCGAAAUACACACACUCCGUGACCCAACUAUCUCACCAUUGGAAUUUAUCCCACAGGAAAACAGCAACAGACUUCACA